rnacentral:rRNA from 1 species
CCUACGGGAGGCAGCAGUGGGGAAUCUUGCGCAAUGGGCGAAAGCCUGACGCAGCAACGCCGCGUGGGGGAAGAAGGCCUUAGGGUUGUAAACCUCUGUCGGGAGGGACGAAGCCACCUGCGUUAAUAGCGUAAGGGGUGACGGUACCUUCAAGGGAAGCCCCGGCUAACUACGUGCCAGCAGCCGCGGUAAUACGUAGGGGGCAAGCGUUGUCCGGAUUUAUUGGGCGUAAGGAGCGUGUAGGCGGCCUGUCAAGUCCGAUGUGAAAUCUUGCGGCUUAACCGCAAGCCUGCAUUGGAAACUGUCAGGCUAGAGUCUGGAUGAGGAAGGUGGAAUUCCUGGUGUAGCGGUGAAAUGCGCAGAUAUCAGGAGGAACACCGGUGGCGAAGGCGGCCUUCUAGGACAGUACUGACGCUGAGACGCGAAAGCGUGGGGAGCAAACAGGAUUAGAUACCCUGGUAGUCACGCUGUAAACGAUGGACACUAGGUGUUGGGGGUGUUGACUCCCUCAGUGCCGUACUAACGCAUUAAGUGUCCGCCUGGGGAGUACGGCCGCAAGGCUAAAACUCAAAGGAAUUGACGG